rnacentral:rRNA from 1 species
UUAUAAAUAAAAUUAAUUAAUAAAAAAUUAAAUGAAAGCAUUAAAUUUAAAGAAUUUGGCGGUAUUUUAAAUAGUUAAAGGAAUUUGUUAAGUAAAUGAUACUCCACGAUUGGAAAGUCCUGAUUUAGUUUUUAUGUAUUGUUGUAAAAAAAUUAUUUUAUAAGAAUAAUAAUUAAAGUAUUUAAUUUAAUUAAAAUAUAAAUCAAAAUGUAGAAUUAUUAGGAAAAUAUGAAUUACAAUUUAAUUUAAUAUUGGAAUUAUUUUUUUAAUUAAAAUAAUGAAAUAGGAUCUAAAAGUAAAUUUAAAUAAAUUUUUAAAUUGAAAGAUUAAUUAAAAUAUG